UACGUAGGGGGCAAGCGUUAUCCGGAAUUAUUGGGCGUAAAGAGCUCGUAGGCGGUUUGUCGCGUCUGCUGUGAAAACUGGGGGCUCAACCCCCAGCCUGCAGUGGGUACGGGCAGACUAGAGUGCGGUAGGGGAGAUUGGAAUUCCUGGUCGUAGCGGUGGAAUGCGCAGAUAUCAGGAGGAACACCGAUGGCGAAGGCAGAUC
rnacentral:rRNA from 1 species